rnacentral:misc_RNA from 1 species
AAGUCGUAACAAGGUUUCCGUAGGUGAACCUGUGGAAGGAUCAUUAACGAGUUAGGGUCUUCUCGGCCCGACCUCCCAACCCUUUGCUUACUUGACCAUUGUUGCUUCGGCGAGCCCGUCUUUACUGACCGCCGGGGGACCAUAAAACGUCCUCUGGUCCGUGCUCGUCGGUGGCCAACUUUUAUAAAUUCUUAACUAAACGUGUCAUUAUCUAAGUACUAUUGUUAAUUAAAGCAAAACUUUCAACAACGGAUCUCUUGGUUCUG